CGACCCUCAAGUUUUACUUGGUGUUGGGUGAAGUCCUUUAAAGGGACCCUCCCCUAACUUAUAGGCGGUCAUCGCUUUUUUCCCCCAGCGUAGCAAGCUAACGCAUUCGCUCGAGGAUAGGCGGUUUGAUUCGCUAAAUAAAUACCCUUUUUUAAAG
rnacentral:misc_RNA from 1 species